ACAUUCAUUCUUCUUGAGAGGUUCGAGUCCGACAAGUGAGGCUGGCACACUCAGCCCAGAAUCCUAACUGCGAACUUGUGUAAACAUUCCAGUACACAGUCCCAGACUCCUGCACAGUAUUAAUAACACUUUGCAAUACGGCACUGUCACAUUUAGCUUUUCCUGUAUCUUUCCUUCAUAUGAACCUGACAGGGGCACAUAAAUGCAGAUGGGGCAGCUGUUGACUUUUUGGUGACGGGGAAACUGAAUGGCACUUACCCCUGCCAACCUGCAGACACCCAAUCAGCUGGCUCCGCCAACCUGCAGACACCCAAUCAGCUGGCUCCGCCAACCCGCCAUUACCUCAUCAGCCUUGUCUGUGAAGUCGCCUUUGAAGUCCCCAAAAGCAUUGUAAAGGUUAUGAAGCCAGAUAUCUCAGUCGGGUUAAGUGCCUGACUCAAAGGUUCUUCAAAUGCUGGGAUAGCCCAAGACCGCCAUAGCCAUCUGAUCCCCACCACAGGGUGCCACCAGCAUCCUGACCAACGAUCACAAGAACAGAUCCACGUCUGAGAAUGUUCCGGCACAUUCCAGAAAAUGUCCCCUCAGCGUCCUGGCCCGGGCUGCCAAACCACCUGACCACAAUCCCCUACCUUCAGUCUUUGAGGAGCAGUUGUAUCUGCUGCAUUUUUGAACCGUGACUCGUCCAUUUAUUAUAGUUAUUUUCCAGGACUGUUUUCACUCCUGAAGGGAAAAUGCAAUCUGCUCAGUUUUCUCCAUAUUGACAAAUAGGUUUUGAUUCCUGCUGGGAAACCUACUAUAAAGCAACAACUGCGAUACGUGAAAUAAAAUUUGAAUAUUCUGAUUGAAGUAUUACAUUGCCGCAAUUUCACAAGCCUUUACAAGAUGA